UGCAGUCGAGCGGACCGACGGGAGCUUGCUCCCUUAGGUCAGCGGCGGACGGGUGAGUAACACGUGGGUAACCUGCCUGUAAGACUGGGAUAACUCCGGGAAACCGGGGCUAAUACCGGAUGCUUGAUUGAACCGCAGGGUUCAAUUAUAAAAGGUGGCUUUCAGCUACCACUUGCAAAUGGACCCGCGGCGCAUUACCUAGUUGGUGAGGUAACGGCUCACCAAGGCAACAAUCCGUACCCAACCUGAGAGGGUGAUCGGCCACACUGGGACUGAAACACGGCCCAAACUCCUACGGGAGGCAGCAGUAGGGAAUCUUCCGCAAUGGACAAAAGUCUGACGGACCAACGCCCCGUGAGUGAUGAAGGUUUUCGGAUCGUAAAACUCUGUUGUUAGGGAAAAACAAGUGCCGUUCGAAUAGGGCGGCACCUUGACGGUACCUAACCAGAAAGCCACGGCUAACUACGUGCCAGCACCCGCGGUAAUACGUAGGUGGCAAGCGUUGUCCGGAAUUAUUGGGCGUAAAGCGCGCGCAGGCGGUUUCUUAAGUCUGAUGUGAAAGCCCCCGGCUCACCCGGGGAGGGUCAUUGGAAACUGGGGAACUUGAGUGCAGAAGAGGAGAGUGGAAUUCCACGUGUAGCGGUGAAAUGCUUAAGAUGUGGAGGAACACCAGUGGCGAAGGCGACUCUCUGGUCUGAAACUGACGCUGAGGCGCGAAAGCGUGGGGAGCGAACGGGAUUAAAUCCCCUGGUACUCCGCGCCGUAAACGAUGAGUGCUAAGUGUUAGAGGGUUUCCCCCCUUUAGUGCUGCAGCAAACGCAUUAAACACUCCCCCGGGGGAAUACGGGCGCAAGAAUGAAACUCAAAGGAAUUGACGGGGGCCCCCAAAAACGGGGGAACCAGGGGUUUUAAUUCGAAACCACCCAAAAAACCUUACCGGGGUUUGAACUCCUGAGAAAACCCAAAAAAAAGGGCUUCCCCUUCGGGGGGAA
rnacentral:rRNA from 1 species